rnacentral:rRNA from 1 species
GUACUCCCCAGGCGGAGUGCUUAUUGUGUUUACUUCGGCACUGACCAUCGCUGGCCAACACCUAGCACUCAUCGUUUACAGCGUGGACUACCAGGGUAUCUAAUCCUGUUUGCUACCCACGCUUUCGUGACUCAGCGUCAGUUACAGUCCAGUAAGUCGCCUUCGCCACUGGUGUUCCUCCUAAUAUCUACGCAUUUCACCGCUACACUAGGAAUUCCACUUACCUCUCCUGCACUCAAGUUAUGCAGUUUCAAAUGCUAACACAAGUUAAGCCUGUGCCUUUUACAUCUGACAUACAUAACCGCCUACUCACCCUUUACGCCCAGUAAAUCCGGACAACGCUCGCCCCCUACGUAUUACCGCGGCUGCUGGCACGUAGUUAGCCGGGGCUUCCUCCUUGGCUACCGUCAUUAUCUUCACCAAGGACAGAGUUUUACGAUCCGAAGACCUUCUUCACUCACGCGGCGUCGCUGCAUCAGAGUUUCCUC